rnacentral:rRNA from 1 species
AUGGUGGAUGGGGUUGGAGAGGCAGCCGGGCAGAGAGCCGACACGGGUGGUAGGGUGGCGGCCGCCGCCGCCGGCAAUCCGGAGCCGGAAGGGAGCACAACUCCGUGUUGCACGAGGCGUAGCCACCAGGACCGGCAAACCGAAGAUGCUGCAAGGGACGCAGCAACUUGUUGGCCGGGGCCGAGACCGCGCCAGAGGGGACACCGGCAGACCAUGGACACUGGAGAACGCAGGUCCGUGGACGCCGGGACUGGAGCAGUGCUGACGAAGAACCACCAUGAAACUUCAGCCGCCUGCCAAAGGACGCCGUGA